GGUGAGUGUGCGGUGUUGGGUGCUGGUGGGGCUUUCCGUGUAGCCCUCAGAGGCUCACCUUGGUGGGAUGUGGGUGAGGCCCCCAGCCUGCCUUCUCUCCUGUGGGUGGCGGGGGCCCCUUGAGACGCUCUUGGACACAGGUGGUGCCUUUCAGGUGGACUGCCGCAGCGGCUCCAGGCCCUCUCCUUGACUCCCCCUGCAGCCGACCCUGCGGCCCUGCUGUGAUGCACACCUGGCUCCCAGCAGAUGACACCACGUCCAGCCUCUGGCCCAGGGGUGUGCUGGUGGAGCAGCUGUGACUGUCCUGCUGGCCAGGGCCUUCUAGUUUUCUUUUCAGACUUGACAGUGGACUCCAGAGCUGCGAAUGGUGCUCAAGGCACCCGCAGUGUCCAGCCCCAUGGGACUUUGUUUCCAAUCUAAACCUGCAGUGGGGGCGUGGGGGAUGGGAGGGGAGUGGGAAUCGAUAGCAAACGCUGUAACUCCUCAGCUAAUCUUCCAGAGGGACAGAAGGAACUGCCAAGAGCAAACCAGAAGAGAAUCACACAGCGAUAUAUUUCCAGGAAAAGUUAUUAAAAUAUUGACAUUUCAUCUGCACAGGCUUAUCCCUCAGACGUCCUCCAGACGGCCCCCAGACAGUGCUAAUUUAAUUAUGUUCCACCUGCGCCUGCUCGACAUCAUCGGAUCCUUCCAGAAAGGGCGGCACUUAUGUACUUUCAGUUUUGGAGGCUUUCCUAGAACUUACCUCAAUUUCCAGUGGGCUUUAAGGGAUUCUCAUUCCUAAAACAGAUGAGGGUGAACUUCUCAGGUGAUGAUGCCGCCCGCAGUGGCAGCCACGCAGGUACCUCCUCUGUGGAUGGACUCUGCUGGAAAAUGAAAACAGCCUGGAACCAGACGUGAGCCCACCGCCACUCUGGACGCACUGUGAAGAGCUGUGUGGAGCUCCCUGUUCAAACACUGUCUUUGACGUGAUAAUGGGAGCAGCUGUCUUCCUGGGAGGGCCUGGUGAGAAACCCAAGCCUCCGACAUAGAGCCCAGUCGAGCAGUUUGCAGAAUCAGGUGAAGGAGAAGCUGGAGAAGGAGCUGGAGUGAGCGUCUGCUGACCUGGAAGAUGGCGCUCAGCACAUGUGCCCUGUGUGCCCUGUGUGCCCGUGUGUGCAUGUGUGUGCAGGAGUACGUGAGAGGACGCACCUGGUGGCUAAACAGAGCCUUCCUCUUCAAGGCACUCACGUGAGCUGCACAUCUGGGAGGAGGCGGAGCUGUUCUUUCAGGUUUCUGUUGAGUGCAGCGUUGCCCACUGUCCUGGCUGGACGAUUCUCUGGGGAGGGGCCACCCUGUGCUCACCACGAGGAGCAGCAGUACCUCUCCCCAGCAGUGGUGAGAGGAAAACUUUCCUCCAGAUGGCGGGUGCACUCCAGGGGCAGGAGCCCGCAGGCGGGGACCGCUGACUCGGAGCACACACCCCGAGUCUGGUCACUCCCUUCGCAACUCAUAGUCCACCUGGAGAACUGCCUCGCACCUGGGCUAUUUCCAGACUGGCUGCCGUGUGGCCUUCAGGCACACAGAAGCCCCCACCUGGGCAGCACAGGGCAGGCCCCAUGGUGCUUCUCCUGGGCGUCACCAGGUGGAGGUCUCCGAGAGGUGGAGCCCGUGUGCCCCAGCUGCACCUGUCCCAAGACCCUUGCUGUGUUUUCUUGUGUCCCUCUGGCCAUGUGGGUUUCCAUUUCCAGCAUGUGGGCUAAGCACUGAAGGGACAGGGCCACCCAGCCGGCUACCACUUCACUAGAAGGCGCAAAGAGGAGCCUCGGUCCCAGCCCAGGGGGCCCGCUGCCAGGCUGCACGAGGGCCACUCCAGGAGCAAGCCCAUCCCCAUGGCUGACCCAGGGUCCUUCCCAUGUCUCCAGAGGGUGGUGGGUGGCUGUGCUGACUGUUGGAUCAUGAUCCCAGCUGGACAGCAUGCCUGCCCAGUGUCCCUGGUGCUCACCACCCCUCCUCUCGUUCCGGGCUCGCUCCCUGGCACCCAGCGGGCAGUGCGCCCUUCAGGGCCCUGCGCCGUGGCAGGUAGGGUCCACCGCUCUCCUGAGGAGCUCACGGACGGAGGAAAAGCAGACACUGUCACGGGUCAUUCCCCCCACUCUCCCCUUCCUUAGGUUGCAUGAAGCAGAAUUGCCAAGCACAGGCAGCACCUGGAUCCCCUCAGGAGGCCUGGUGAGCACUGCCCGAUUCUGGGGAGCAGGGGGCACAACUUCCUCUGGCGGACAUCUCGGGCUUCAGGCAGCUGGAAGCUUGGGAGGGACCCUGCGCAGUGGUGCCUCAGGUCAGACUGUGGGCCGGGAGCUGGGGCCCCUCAGGAUCCCUGGGCUCGUGCAUGGGGGUCGACAGCGCUGCCUGGCCUUGUGUGUUGACCCCAAGCCCCUCCUGAUUCCACGGUCUCCAGCUCCUGGGCUGGGCCUCUCCUGCAGCCUCAGGACACAGCCCUCCACACCAGCCCUGUACAGUCCAGGCACAGCCCACGGGUACCUCUGCUGAUGGACACGUCUGCCCAUGGCCGCAGUGCCUCUCCCUGUCCUGCCUCCAUGCUCCUGUGGGCCCUGGGGCCAGCUUCUCUGCCACCACCUGCCCCAGCCUCCACGUCACCCUGAAGGCCCACCGCUCUUCCCUCUGCCAGGAGCUCUGCAGAAACAAAUGUCUCCUCUCCGCCUGCCUCGUCAGCUGUGUGUCCUCAGCCCCACUCUGUCAUCAAGCCACGGCAGUUUCCUUCCCCAAAGCCCCAAAGACCGUCUGGACCCUCAGAGCCGCGGGCUCCACCUUUCCCAGGGUGCAGCCUCCUGGUCUGCCCUCGUGGCACAUGUAGUUUGCAGCAGAGGAGCUGAUGGGAGCCUGGAAUCGGGUUCAACCUGGCCACAAGUUCAAGGGCUCCAUGCUCCGAGGGCUUCAUCCUCGAGGCUCCCGUUCAGCUGAUGAGGACGUGGGUUUGGCCGUCUGUGUGGAUCUCUCAUGUGACAGCUGUUAUCUCCAGCAAAGGGCCGCUCUGUGCCUCGUUCCCGGUCUGCAAACAUCUCUGGAGCGUCCUAGGUGCUGGACUCUGGCGUGUAGGUGGAGAACCAAGCCUAGGUGACCCCUCCCCUUGGACCUGGUGUGGAUUGGGUCAUGUGACAGAGGGGAAUGGAGGCUGCCCAUCAGCUGACCGCCACGUGGGGAGACAGCGUGGGUCGUCCAGGCUGUCCAUAGAGUCACGGGUUCUUCCACGUGGAAGAAGGAGGUCAAGAGGGCUCAGAGCCGAGCAGAGGUCUGGCAGACGCUGCAUGCCUGGCUCUGAAGACUGAGUGCGGGACCCAGGCCUGGGGAUGUGGUGGCCCCUGGGGUGGGAAGAGGCAGGAGAUAGGUCCUGACUCAGGAGAUAGUCCCCAGGCUCCGCCCUCCAGAAGAAGCUUGGUUCUGGCAGCACUUGGCUCUAGCCCUGGAGAUUUCUUCCAGACCUCCGACCCAGAGCUGAGUGUGGGGACCUGUGCUGUUUCAGGCCACCGCAUUGGUGGGGUUUGCUGCAGCAGCCACCGGAGGCCACCAGCUGUAGGUGGGCAGCAUGAUCUGAUGCCAGGCCACAGAAGAGAGGGCACCUGUUUUGUCUCUGCCUCCAGGCUGGCCAGCGGGGCCCCGGGUGCCUCUUCCCUCAGUCACUUGAAGGCUCAGGUGCUGGGGACUGAAGCUCAGCUCUGAGCAGCACGUGGACCAGGGGUCCCUCCAAGAGCCUCGGGCCUCCUGGCCCCCCCAGCAGCCCUGGGAGACUCUGUGAGCUGCAGUGUGUUCGCAUGCCCCUGCUCACGGACGGGCGUGGGAUGGCGCUGGGGCUUCAGAGCCUCCGCGUCGAUGGCAUUCGAUGGCAUUCGAUGGCAUCUCCAUGGCAGCACUGGGUUCAGAGCUGCUCUCUUGGGCUUCAGUGUUCUUCUGUUGAGGGCAGGAGCUGCCUGUCCCUGUCCAGGAGAGGGACACUGGUUUAAAGAGGCUUGUGCAGUCCUCCCGGGGCAGGCAGCUGCCUAGGGAUGCGGACCAGGUGCCCUGUGAAGCGGAGGGCCAGUGCUGCCCUCAGGGCACCUGCGUCCAGCUGCCUCUCUCCUAGAGGGGAGCCCCUCCCAUGCCAAGGUGAGCCCAACCCCAGCUCCUGGGGUGGGCUUGGCAGCUCACCUCUUGGCUUCCUGCUUGGCUCAGCCAGCAACCUCUCAUCCCCAAAGUCUGCCACGCACACCCAUCUGCUAGCUCCUCCCCCUGGGAAAGGCAGCAGAUGAUCACCCGUGUGGCAUUAACUUUAAAAGUACCUCUGCAUAGAGUUCCAAUGUCUGUGAGGGGCUCAACCCAGCCAGGGUGCUGGCCCUCGAGAGCUCUGAUGUCACCUCUGACUCACUACCCAAACUGACUGGCCUGAGUCCCAGCUCCUGGCAAGGUGGGAAGUUGCUUCUCACGUGAGCUGAGUGGCCUUGGAGGCUCUGCAGCCCCUGGAUGUGGCUUGUGCUCCAGGAGCCCAGCACCCCGACUCCACGAGCAGCCCUGGAGCCUGACACCCACAGUGUCAGUGACAGUGACCACUGUCAGCGGUCACUGAACUGAUCUCUGGAAGUGAAAUUCACAGGCCAGGGGCUGGUCAGAACUCCUGGGGGCAGACAGUAGGGUUAUCCCUGGCCACCGGGGUGCUUGGAAAUGAAUAUUUGCACCCUCAGCCAAGCUCUGGUGAAGUCUAACUUCAUUGCGCUACUCGCUCCUGAUGUGGGGGGACGAUGGCCUCCUCCUACCUCUAGCCGGGGGACCUUCAGGUGUGUACCAAAGUCCCUGACUGGCCGACCAGCUUUGGCUGGCUUAGGUCGAAUGAAGACAGACUGCAUGGAGUGAUCGCUGAAUCUAAAACUGUACCACAAGUUCUCUGGGAGUCGGAAAGGUACUCAGCUCAUAAAAGCACAUUUCUAGUUACCACGUGUGCUGUGUUUUCUAAUUUAGAAAGUGCCUCAUCUCCUUGGUGUUGGUGGAAAACAAAUGAGCAUGCAUGCUGGGGCCUGAGGCUCUCAUGGUUCCAGAACAGCUCUGCAGCUGGGGAAAUGCGCCCCACAAUCCCAGCACAAGGAAAGCUGAGGGGAAGGCGGGACUCAGGUUUUUUGAACUUUAAACUUUGCAUCUGCAACUACAAGGGAGAUGACUGCAAGCUGUGCUGACCUGUGGUUGGGGAGACGAGGGUGUGGCCCUGCGGGGGCUCCUCCUGGCCCUGCCUGGUCCACUCUGGAGGUAUUUGGGUGUAAGUAUUCUGACUGCUCCCUGAGG